GUGUGGCAGGAGAGCUGAGUGGUUCCAGCACUCAUUCUUCAGCCUUGUCUCUGUUAUCCUUAAGAGGACAGAGACAUUGGAAUACUGAGAGCUGCACAGAGGCACUUCAGAGCUCCAGGGGCAGAACCCUGGAGCCCACGGCAAGCCCAUUGCCAGGGCCAGUAUUUCUACUCUUUUAAAUCUAGGUUUAUUAAUUUCUUCGCAAGAGCAUGUGUUUCCAAAAAAUUCUUUGUUGCUUUUAGUAGCAGUGUUGAUUCUAGAAUCCCAUUUCCUCACUCCCUCCCUCCCUCCCUCCCUCCCUCCCUCCCUCCCUCCCUCCCUUCCUUCCUUCCUAUAUAUUUUUAUUGAUUUCAGAGAAGAAUGAAGAGGGAAAGGAGAUAGAAACAUCAAUGAUGUGUGAGAAAGAGCCAUUGAUUGGCUGCCUUCUGCACACCCCACACUGGGGAUCGAGCCUGCAACCCAGGCAUGUGCCCUGACUGGGAGUCGAACUGUGACCUCCUGGUUCAUAGGUCAAUGCUCAACUAUCGAGCCACACUGGCUGGGCGUAUUAUCUUGGUUCUUUAUGCAGUGUAAUUUUCUUCAAAUUAUACUCUCUGCUUAUUUGACAUCUCUCUUGAAAAAUUAGGUGAGCAUCCCAACACCACAAGAAAACUUUGUGUAAUAUCUAGUCUUCAUUUUACUCAUUUAAAAUAUGUAUUUUUUUUACCCUUACUUAUUGUUGAGUCCAAGUUCCUCUGCCAGGGACUUGCCUUCUUUGGAGGCCGAGAAUUGGAAAAAGACAUGAGUGGCUGUAGGCAGGUGGGUUAUUUAUUGCAAACAAAGCAGCCAACAACCAGCUGGUCAGUGGCACUUUGUAUACUCACUCAAACAAAAGAGGCCACAUGCCCAUUAGUAACAUCUGUAUUACAUUAAAAUAAGUAGGUUGUAUAAGGGUGUGCCUAUGCAGUGUGUAUACUGCUACUGCUGAGUCAUUGCCCUUGCACAUGCAUAUGGCAAAUGGGCCUUUAGUAUCUGGCGUACUCUGGUCAGGGCCCUGCACUUUUUCAGCAGAUCAAUUUCUUAAAAUUCAUAAACUACGGUCCUGGCUUGUUUGUUUCAGUUGGUUGGAGUAUUAUCCUGUACACCAAAAGGUUGCUGGUUUGAUUCCCAGUAGGGGCACAUACCUAGGUUUCCAGUUUUGUCCCUGGAUGGAGUGUGCAUGAAAGGCAACCAGUCAAUGUUUCUCUCUCACAGCAAUGCCCUCCUCUCCUCCCUCCUAUAAAAAUCAGUGAAAAUGUCCUGAGGUGAGGAUUGGGGAAAAUUCAUCUAAUCUAAUAAAAGAGAAACAUGCAAAUUGACUGAACCUCCUCUAUGCCCCAAGCCACACCCACCAGCCAAUCAGAGCGACUAUAUGCAAAUUAACCCAACCAAGAUGGUGGCCGGCAGCCACGAAGCUGGAGCAAGCAGGAGGCUUGGUUGCCCUGGUGAUGGAGGAAGCCAAGCUUCCUGCCUUCCCUGGCAGUCUGUGGCCUUUGCUCAAGGCAACAAAGUUGCAAUUCUAGAAGAUAAAUAAAUCCCAGAUACCUGCUUCCAGCCAGCCUCCACUGGUAGCUUGGGUGGCUGGGGGCUUGGCCAGCCUGCAAACAGCCAUCAGCCCCUCACCCAGGCUGGCCAGGCACCCCAACAGGACCACCCACACUGAAGGGGUUGUGACCAGCCUGAAAAUGGCCCUCAGACCCUCACUCAAGCUGGCCAGGCACUCCAGCGGGGACCCCCACCCUGAAGGGGGUGUGGCCAGUCUGAAAACGGCCCUCAGCCCCUCACCCAGGCUGGCCAGGCACCCCAGCGGGACCCCCACCCUGAUCCGGGACACCAUUCAGGGCAAACCAGCCAGCCCCCACCCAUGCACCAGGCCUCUAUCCUAUAUAAUAAAAGUGUAAUAUGCAAGUUGACCCUAACAACAGAAUGACUGGGAAUGACUGGUCACUAUGACACACACUGACCACCAGGGGGCAGACGCUCAAUGCAGGAGCUGCCCCCCGGUGG